UACGGAGGGUGCGAGCGUUAUCCGGAAUUACUGGGUUUAAAGGGUGCGUGGGCGGCCAUGUAAGUCAGGAGUGAAAGUUUGCGGCUCAACCGUAAAAUUGCUUUUGAUACUGCAUGGCUGGAAUCAGGAUGAGGUCAGCGGAAUGUGGCAUGUAGCGGUGAAAUGCAUAGAUAUGCCAUAGAACACCAAUUGCGAAGGCAGCUGGCUAGACCUGUAUUGACGCUGAGGCACGAAAGCGUGGGGAGCGAACAGG
rnacentral:rRNA from 1 species